GAAGCCAGUGAUCAAGAUGGCUAUGGCGGAAAACGCGCAAAUGUCAAAAACCAGAAACAGAACAAACCUAAACCGAACUUGAAGUUACCGCCUUCGAAAAUGUCACAGCGAAAAGGCACGACGACUCCAUCUCCUGCCCCAAUGAAUGCAGUUAAAAAAUCGUGGCCAGUUAAAGAAGAAAACUACGAGGAAGAAGAUAGCGAAGAAACGGAGGAGGAGGACCGUGAGAAUGUGGAGGAG
rnacentral:misc_RNA from 1 species